rnacentral:tRNA from 1 species
GCCAGUGUGGUGUAAUGGUUUGAGUGCUGGAUUAUGACUCCAGAGACAAGGGUUUGAAUCCCUGCUGGCC